CAGUCGCCACGGUAAGACGAACCGUGCGAACGUUAUUCGGAAUCACUUGGCUUAAAGCGCGUGUAGGCGGAUUGGUGCGUCGGUGCCUGAAAUCCCCCGGCUCAACCGGGGAACGCGGCCCGAAGCGACCAGUCUGGAGGGACGUAGGGGGAACUGGAACUUCCGGUGGAGCGGUGAAAUGCGUUGAGAUCGGAAGGAACGCCCGUGGCGAAAGCGAGUUCCUGGACGUCUGCUGACGCUGAGACGCGAAAGCUAGGGGAGCGAACGGGAUUAGAUACCCCUGUAGUCCCUGUCUCUUAUA
rnacentral:rRNA from 1 species